rnacentral:rRNA from 1 species
GAUGAACGCUGGCGGCGUGCCUAAUACAUGCAAGUCGAGCGAACAGACGAGGAGCUUGCUCCUCUGACGUUAGCGGCGGACGGGUGAGUAACACGUGGAUAACCUACCUAUAAGACUGGGAUAACUUCGGGAAACCGGAGCUAAUACCGGAUAAUAUAUUGAACCGCAUGGUUCAAUAGUGAAAGACGGCUUUGCUGUCACUUAUAGAUGGAUCCGCGCCGCAUUAGCUAGUUGGUAAGGUAACGGCUUACCAAGGCAACGAUGCGUAGCCGACCUGAGAGUGUGAUCGGCCACACUGGAACUGAGACACGGUCCAGACUCCUACAGUAAGCAGCAGUAGGGAAUCUUCCGCAAUGGGCGAAAGCCUGGCGGAACAGCGCCGCGUGAGUGAUGAAGGUCUUCGGAUCGUAAAACUCUGUUAUUAGGGAAGAACAAAUGUGUAAGUAACUAUGCACGUCUUGACGGUACCUAAUCAGAAGGCCAGGGCUAACUACGUG